rnacentral:lncRNA from 1 species
CCGGUCCAAGAGGAGGCUAGCUCUACCCCAGACACACACACGCGCUCACACACACUCGUUCAAACACAGUGAAAUAGAGCGGUUCAGAGGACGGAAACGUUCUGUGAAGUAUACACUGCGUGGUUUCUGUGGAUGGCCUGAGUGUCUUCAGCUGCGGCAGAAUCCUCUGAGGAACUGGCCUGACUCAUCUGCGUCUGUGACAGGUCAUGUCCAUGAGCAGGAGUGGAUAACCCAAAGCGCCCAAACCGGCUCACUAACACUCAAAUCCAUGUUUAAAGAUGCUGUCAGGAAAGGAAACGCAUGGAAAAGUUGCUACCAGCUUACCUCAUCCUUCCCUGCAUUAUGACUGGCAUUGUUUCUGGAGCUUAUGAUGCAGACAGACGGGACGGUUGCCCUCAGACCAAAGGAGACGUUGACCUAGAGGGAGAUCGGCAGCGAGCGGCAUGAAAGUUACAGCCCUCAUGUGGGACAAACAGCAGAGAAGGGCUUCACACCAGGCAACACAUGCAAAAUUGACAAGAGGAUGUGGGGAAAAAAGGGGUUGGACGAGGAUGAAUAAAACAAAUCAUGGUGCUUGACUGGAGGUGAUUUGAAAUAUUCUUUGUCUUCAUUUACGCUUGAGAAUAAUAUAACAUCCCGACAGGAGACCGGGCUAGGGGCUCCAGUCGCACGCAGGGGAUAAAAAAUUAAUUAAAAGAUGAGAGAA